GAUGAACGCUGGCGGCGUGCCUAAUACAUGCAAGUCGAGCGAACGGACGAGAAGCUUGCUUCUCUGAUGUUAGCGGCGGACGGGUGAGUAACACGUGGAUAACCUACCUAUAAGACUGGGAUAACUUCGGGAAACCGGAGCUAAUACCGGCUGAUAUUUUGAACCGCAUGGUUCAAAAGUGAAAGACGGUCUUGCUGUCACUUAUAGAUGGAUCCGCGCUGCAUUAGCUAGUUGGUAAGGUAACGGCUUACCAAGGCAACGAUGCAUAGCCGACCUGAGAGGGUGAGCGGCCACACUGGAACUGAGACACGGUCCAGACUCCUACGGGAGGCAGCAGUAGGGAAUCUUCCGCAAUGGGCGAAAGCCUGACGGAGCAACGCCGCGUGAGUGAUGAAGGUCUUCGGAUCGUAAAACUCUGUUAUUAGGGAAGAACAUAUGUGUAAGUAACUGUGCACAUCUUGACGGUACCUAAUCAGAAAGCCACGGCUAACUACGUG
rnacentral:rRNA from 1 species